GCGAACUUAGCUCAGUUGGUAGAGUCGGUGCCUUCCAAGCACUCGGUCGUCGGUCCGAAUCCGACAGUUCGCUCCA
rnacentral:tRNA from 1 species